AUUGAACGCUGGCGGCAGGCUUAACACAUGCAAGUCGAGCGGGGUGAUGGUGCUUGCACUAUCACUUAGCGGCGGACGGGUGAGUAAUGCUUAGGAAUCUGCCUAUUAGUGGGGGACAACAUCUCGAAAGGGAUGCUAAUACCGCAUACGUCCUACGGGAGAAAGCAGGGGAUCACUUGUGACCUUUCGCUAAUAGGUGAGCCUAAGUCGGAUUAGCUAGUUGGUGGGGUAAAGGCCUACCAAGGCGACGAUCUGUAGCGGGUCGGAGAGGAUGAUCCGCCACACUGGGACUGGGACACGGCCCAGAAUCCUACGGGAGGCAGCAGUGGGGAAUAUUGGACAAUGGGGGGAACCCUGAUCCAGCCAUGCCGCGUGUGUGAAGAAGGCCUUAUGGUUGUAAAGCACUUUAAGCGAGGAGGAGGCUCUUUUGGUUAAUACCCAAGAUGAGUGGACGUUACUCGCAGAAUAAGCACCGGCUAACUCUGUGCCAGCCGCCGCGGUAAAAC
rnacentral:rRNA from 1 species